rnacentral:lncRNA from 1 species
UUUUUCUGCUGCAGUAAUUGUUAAGUGAUCUCUCUCUGCUCUUAUCUCAACCUAUGAACAUACCAUUAAUAUUUUCUCUUUCCUGCCCAGUUGAGAGGAGAGUGAUGGCAUGGUUUGGUGGCCACCUGGCAUCCAGACAAAGUCAACUACCACACAAAUUAUUAAUUUUCCGUGGAUAUUUUGAAAUCUGUCAUCUUAUAGGUAAGAAGAAACCCUGCUGCAAGAAAGACAGCCAGGACAAGUCACUGAAGUUAUGGUCAUAUGGGAAUGUAUUAAUAAGUUUUUCAGGUCAAAUGAAAUUCUCUCUAGCAAAGAACCUACAGCAAAACUUGCUCUGA